rnacentral:lncRNA from 10 species
CUGGGAUUUCCUGAAAACCUACUUCACUUGACACACAAGUGGAGAAGAUAAAUAGUAAUUUGGAACCAAAACUCAGGACGUCCCAGGAGAGGCUAGAUUAGGAAUUCUUUGAUUUGGGAUCACGAAAAUGAAGUAUCCAUAUUUUAACAGAAUGAUUAGUGGCAGAGGAAUCAUCUAAGAAAACUGAGAAGACUCUGCCAGAGUGAUGGGAAGAAAACUAGAUGAGAAAGCACCAUUCUGGAAGACAUGCUCCCAUGAACCAUGGAGAGAAGAGGAGAGGGAAGAAGUUAUUUGUGAUGUCAUUUGCCUGUGUCAUGGCCUGCCUUCCCUAGAUAUUGUCCUAAUGUGAGCAUCACACCUAAGGUACUGAAGUAGAGUUCUGGCUGUUCCUUACGGACAUCUCUGGUGUUGGGAUCCAGAGAACCUUCCCCUUCUGAGCAGCAAAACCAAAUAAAGCAGUUCUCAGGAUACAAAGACAAGACUGAGGAAGAUCCUAAUAAGGUGUUGCAAGGUGACACAGGACAAACUUUGUCCAAAGGAAAUUGAUCUGACAAGAACUUCUGGACUUGUCAGUUCUUAGGGCUGACUGGUCUAUCCUCUUUCUAUUGACUUUGGCUUACUAGACUCAAGCAGAAAGUGACAAGGGAAGAAAAGGAUACAAACAGAAGCAAGUUUCCAAGAACAAGGUUUACAUCAGGAAGAGCCAAUCAAAGAUCAUAUCUGGAGGACUGCUGCAAAGUUGUGAUAAAUGACCAAAUAGUAUUUUUAUAGAAGGUGGAAUGAAUGACAGACUAAAGAUUUCAGCUGAUUAAAGAAAUUAUGGAGUGCAUCAUUCUCAGUUUAUAUUGAACUGGGGUUCCUGAGAAAUUCCUCCUUAUAAAUUUACAUGGAAAUUAUAAUUUUUACUAGUUGAUUUCAGUUAAUUAGCCUACUGAAUAAUUUGAUUCUUGCACUCACUAAAAGAUCAUAGAGCACAAGAAUACCAUUUACAAAAUACUUUAAAAGUGGGGAUAUAAACACAAAUAAGGUCUUGUACCAACCUUGAAGGGAUUUUCAGUCUAGGUAAAAACCAUUUAAAAUAAAAAGAGGGCAUCCUUGUUUUAUUCCUGUAUUUAAGAGAAUGUGUCUUUCAGUGUUUAAAAUAAUGUUUACUGCUGGUUUAUGAUAAAUACUUUAAAAAAUCACAUUAUGGGAAUGUUUUCCAAUUUUCAUUUCCUAAGAGAUUUUUGUCAGGAAUGUAGUUGAAUUUUAUUAAG